rnacentral:rRNA from 1 species
CCUACGGGAGGCUGCAGUGGGGAAUAUUGGUCAAUGGCCGGAAGGCUGAACCAGCAAAGCCGCGUGAGGGAGGAAGGCGCAGAGCGUCGCAGACCUCUUUUGCCGGGGGACAAAAGGCCGGACUCGUCCGGUCCUGAGGGUACCCGGAGAAACAGCAUCGGCUAACUCCGUGCCAGCAGCCGCGGUAAUGCGGGGGGUGCGACGGUUAUCCGGAUUCAUUGGGUUUAAGGGGUGCGCAGGCUGGCCUUUAAGCCGGCGGGGCAAUCGCGGGGUUCAACCCCGCCUAGCCGUGGUAACUGGGGGCCUUGAGUGCUGCGGAGGCAGGCGGAAUGCGCGGUGUAGCGGUGAAAUGCAUAGAUAUCGGGCAGAACCCCGGUGGCGAAGGCAGCGUGCCGUGCCGCCACUGACGCUGAGGCACGAAAGCGCGGGGAUCGAACAGGAUGAGAUACCCGAGUAGUC